AUUUCAUCUGUAUUUAUUGCUAUUGUUUACUUUUAGCCUUUUACUAUUUAAAAUGUAAUGUGUGUUGUUUUUCCAUGCAAGCAAUUUUGGACCGACACUGCUAUCUGCCUUCGCUUUCAACCCCGCCAGGCAGAUCUACUCAGAAUAACACUACUUUGCCUUAUUUUUCCUGUUUGGAUAUCUUGCUGAGUUCAAGUUAAAUCAAGUAUUCAGCUGAAAACACAAAAAGGAUAAUAAUAUUAUGCUUUCUUUCUUGGAACGAUGUUGUUGUGAUAGACCGUGCGUGAAAAACAGCAGGGAAUCUGUAUUUAAGUGACCUCAAUAUUAUACGUAAACCUAAAUGUACAUUUUUAGGUGGUGUCGAAAUUGGUCUAUAGCUCUGCCUGAACUGCUGUCCAAUUGGUUUACAAGUCCGGCUGAAGUGACAGGCCAUCAAAAACUGCACAGUAUGACUGAUUCGGAGACGGCCCUCAACACUCGCCCAGUCGUGUCGAGAGGAUCGGUGUCUUUGCAGAUUACACGGAAUUGAGCACCCGGGCCAGACUGACACUUUCCGGAGCCUGUCCGAGACGGAACUCGAGCCGAGGAAUCAUAGGUCCAGGUGGUGUCGAAAUUGGUCUAUAGCUCUGCCUGAACUGCUGUCCAAUUGGUUUACAAGUCCGGCUGAAGUGACAGGCCAUCAAAAACUGCACAGUAUGACUGAUUCGGAGACGGCCCUCAACACUCGCCCAGUCGUGUCGAGAGGAUCGGUGUCUUUGCAGAUUACACGGAAUUGAGCACCCGGGCCAGACUGACACUUUCCGGAGCCUGUCCGAGACGGAACUCGAGCCGAGGAAUCAUAGGUCCAGGUGUGACAGAAAACUUAAAGCUCAUGUCUGACGAUGACUUUUUUUGAGUCAGGAAGUAAAGUGUGUUGUUUUCCCAUGCAAGCAAGCCCUUUUGUUGGGUCAAAUGACAUCAGAAAUGCUGCUUCUACAUGGAUUUUACCUAAAAUGUGCCAAAAAAUAUAAAAAAAAGUUUGUUCGGAUCUUGUUCAAAACCUGCUAUGAUGCACAUAUAAUGCCAUUGAUGAUUUGUUUUCACUUAUUAAGUCAUAUGUUACAUCUGCUUUGCUAUUAGAAUCGAAAGUGAUGCCUUGUAUGGAGUCUAAGUGCUGUAUGUAUGAUGUAACCAAGGUCGGCUUUUCUACCUUAAUUCUUGACGCGAAACGCUGUUACGCGCGAGGCUUUCAACGUCAACUUUAAUGAAUAAAUCUGUGUGUCAUGGUACUGGAACUUUGUGAUCUUUUUUAAAACAGAUUAUACCUAUGG